CUUACUUUUAUUAUUUUGUUUUUAGGCGACAUGAAAUAAAUAAGAUGCCAGAUUCAGAAGAAGAUUUAGGAGUAUGGUUACGUGAUUUAUUUAAAGAAAAGGAUGAUUUAAUAGAUGAAUUUAAGAAGACAGGAAAAUUUGAUCUUCCAGCUUAUCAUGUUCCUAGAAAAUAUAAUGAUUUGUUGAUAUGGCUGGCAUGGGCAACAGUAACGUGUUUGCCUUUGUUUUAUUUCCUUGGACAAAUAUUUAUAUCAGGAACUUUCCUACAACAAGUGUUCAUUAUUGGUUUAUUUUUGUUCAUGUCUGUAGCAGCCAAAUGGUUAAUAGGAUGGACAGAAACAAAGAAAGGAUCAAAAUAUGGAAUCAAAGAAAAUGGAAAGAACAAAUAACAAGACAAGUCUCUUAUACUGUGAUAUUUUUCUUAAGAGUGUUACCUCAUGCUGUGUCAAAGUUUGUUAUGAGUCUUUCUGUAGAUUCUAUGGAUAUUUUCAUUUGAUAUAAUAGGAUUCCUGGAUUAAGGAAACAGAUUUUUCCUAAAUGGUUGAUUUUGAUGGAUUAUUCAUGUACACCUCUAGAUAAUCUGUAUUAAGUUGAACGCUUUAAUUCAUGGGCUACCUUUACCCAUUUAAAAUCCACCAAAAAUGUGUCCAGGAUGAUAAAAUUGUUCUUUUUUUUCAGCUAUACAUACAUACAUAGAUAAGAAUUGAGAUAAUAUUUGUAUUCAGAUAUUGAAUAAUAAGUGAGAUAAAUUACAUGUGUCCAAAUCACUUUUCUGAGUUAACCUUCAUUAGGAAUGCUCAGAGCCGAAUAUGUGCAACCUGAGGAUGUAUAAGAACCAAAAGAGCCAAAGAGCUACAUGACCAAAAAAGGACCUAAAAACAAUAGCCAAAUCCAUUAUAAAACCAUUUAUGUUGUUUUACAAUCAUAUCCCCAAGAUGUAAUAUUUUCACAGACAAAGCAAUUGUUUAUGAUUUAAUCUGUUAAUAAACCAUAAAACUUACAAUUUUUUAAAGUAAAUUUGAAAUUAUAACCAUGUUGUUUUCUUUGAUUUAGUUGUAUGUAAAUUGUUGUGAGAAUACCAUAUGCACUAUGUGAUCGGCUCCCUGAGGUUGAUAAACUGUUUAUUAAGUAAUCUAUGUAAGGACCCCCAUGAUGAAAAAAAAACUAAUAUUGAAUAAAAUGAAAACUGACUGCCUUAUAAUAUUUGUUUGUAAAAGGAUCUCUACUACUACUAAUAGCGGACUGUUACCUUGUGAGCUAGCACGUUAAACAUCCGGCUCAGCCUGUCGGUCUAGUACAAAGUACGGUAAAUAUUCAUAUUACAUUAACAUGUUCUCAUCCUGAUUAUGCAUAUUAAUUUUUUCGCUGGACGUUAAGCAGCCAUCCAUCAUCAUCAUCUACUUACGGAUAACUACCAAAUGACAAAUAUAUGAAAAUUGAACUGUGUCACAUAGGACCCUAGGAAAAUUAUGUUCAAUAACCUUAUUAAAAUAUGUCUUUUAAAGUAACUUUAUUAAGGUUAUGUAUAUAAUAUUUAAUUGGUAUACCAAUUAGUAAAAUCUACACUUGCCAAAAAUUUAUGUUUGUGAUGUUAUCAAUAACUUGUGAAUUUUAGUUUUUUUUCAAAUUGUUAAGGUUGUUAUAUAUGAACUAUAUAUUUCUUGUUUAUAUUGAUACAUGUAUUGUUGUUGUCUAAAAUUCGAUAUGUUAUCAUACUAUUUCUCUUUUUCAUUUAGCAUGUAGUUUUUGUUCUAUCCAGUCUACUAGUAAAGAAGUAUCUAUUAUAAAUUUUAUCUAUUUCAUAUUUACUGCCAUUACAUAAGAUAUGAAUAAUAUUUGUUUCCUUAUAUUAUAUAUAAAUAUUGUGUCAGUACUACUACCACGAAGUAUCUUACAUUUUGCUUUAAGGUAGAUGGGGUCUGAAUUUAAAGCGAUACAACUGUUUCAACAAUUUAAAAAAAAUAAAAAGUGUGAGUAACAGUGCUGACUUUUGGUUUUGAGCAAAUACAAACAUGAUGUCAGUAGUACUGCCAAUAAUACGCUUAGAUUUCUUUAUCUUUGCUCACUUUUGGUUUUAGAAAUACCUUAUAAUUUGUUAUCAAGAACGACAUUUAAUGAGCACAGAAGUCAUAGCAUUGUCUCAUUAACACUCAUACCACAUCUUCUUAUAUCUAUAUAUAGCAGAUGUAUGUUUUCUGUAUACUGACCAGUUUUUUAACACAAGUCUACAAAACACCUCAUAGAAAAUAAAAAGACUAAGGAACAGCAAUUAUACCAUGGUACUUACGAAAGGUAGGUCAUUCCUGCUACAUAUGUGACACACAUUAUGUUGUUCAUGGAACUCUUAAGACUAAGAAACACCAACUUCACCAUGAUUUAGUACUUAGGAAAGGUAGUAGAUCCUGCUACAUAUAUAUGUGACAUUCGUUAUGUUCAUUGAAUUUUAGAAGAAUAUAAAAUGUUAGGGGGGUUUCAUGUUGAACUGAAAAUAAUUUAUAUUAUAUGCAUCAUAGAAGUACAGGCCCCUAAAGUUCACGAUAUUAAUAAUUGUCUUUUUUCCCAUAUUUGUAAUUAUUUACUUCAUUUUAUUCUAUUUUUAUAAAAACUGCUCAUAGUUUCCCAUAGAAACGAAAGACGAUCCUUACUCUAAAAUUACAACAAGGUAAGUAGUUCCUGCUACAUAUGUGACACUGGUUAAGUUGUUCAUUGACGUUUAGAAGAAUAUAAUAUAUUAAGGGGAUUUCAUGUUGAACAGAGAAACUAAUUUAUAUUAUAUAUAUAUCAUAGAAGUACAUACCCUAAAGAGGAUUUUUACUCUAAAACUACAAUUUUACACCAACAUAUAUAAUGUAUAAUGAUACUUUUUAUAUGGCAAUCAUAACAUUGUUGUGGAUAGAGAAAAAUAUAUUGUUCUGUGAAGUCUUUAUAUCUUGAUGUAUCCACAGUUUGAGAUACACAUUUCCUAUUGUUCUGAAUUCAGUGUGUAUCAUGUGUAUUCUCAUUAUCUUUCCAAAGAUUCACAUGUGAAAUAGAAAAUAUUUGAUGAAAUAUAAUAACAUAUUGAACUAUGAAUGCUUUAAUUUCUAACAUGUAUUAUAUUUGUUUUAAGAUUUGUUUUUGUAUUCUUUUUCAAAGUAGAAGAAUUCUGUAAACAGUUGUAUGUUCAUGUUUUACAUUUGAUAUAACUUGUGGCUUUUUUUUCAAGUAUCCCUUGAAAUCUUGUGAAUAUAACAUACAUAUUCAAAAAUAUUACUUAACCAUUUUUCUCACCUGUUCUUGGAUUCAGGGAGAUUUAAAAUACAUUUUUCAGAAUAAGCAUUUUGCAUAAAACAAUUAUAUGUAAAUAUUGUCUACACCAUAGUACAGUCCAUAACAACCAAAUUAUAAAUAGCAUUGACAUGUUUAAUAACAUUAACAGUACCCUUUUUUAUGCACAAGAUGCGCAUUUCAGCAUGUAAUUUCUUUUCCUGGAAGCUGGAUGCCAAACUAUUUGAAAAUAUAAAACAUACUACAAACGUCACUGUACAUUAUAUGCAAAGAAAAGAAAAUCUCUAAAAUGUAAUUUCUAACAAGGCUGACAUCAAUAUAUAUCUUGGGGUCCUUCACUUAUAUCCCAAUAAGAUUAUGCCACAUAUAAAAGAGAAUCAUUUGUCUUGUCAAGAGAAAAAUAACUUUUUAAUUAUGAUAAGAGAUGUUUGAACGUUCCAAAAAAUCAGAGGAGCAAAAAUACAUGUCAUGAAUUUCUGCAAACAAAAUAUUUCAACAAGUUACCUAUUAAAAUUAUGUCAGAUACGAAACGAGAAUCAUACAAUAUUUGCCUGAACACUUUGACCACACAUUUUAGGUUCAUACAUUUUGUAUAGGUUAAAAAUAGACUUGCACCAAUGUAUUUAUUCUUUAUUUAGUUACAUUUUAAUAAUAGAUCAACACAUCUGUGUGACUAUUGUCAUUUGUUAGUGUUUAUACUUUUUGACACCUGUUGGAGGACCUUUCUUUAUUUUUGAAUUAGAUGCAUUUUAUUAUUUUUCUGUUACAAAACAUCAUCUCAUUCCUGUUAGUACUUUGAAUCAGUAUCGAAAGCAUAGUUUGUUAAAUUCUUUGUUGAUUAUUAUUAUUUAUUUCACUUGUCUAGUUAUGGCUUAAAACAAUACGUAAUUCAAAGAUACUUUAUUAUAAAUAAAGAAGUGGGAGGAUGUUUUAAUCUUUUUACAACCUGUAUUUGCUAGUUAUAGAUUAUAUACGAUUGAAAAAAUUACUUAAUGGAGCCCAUUUGAUGACCAAAAAUUGUGUUUCUCUUUGGUUUUUCAUAGUAUUGCUGGGUAGUGAUCAUCUUGUAAUUAAAUUAUUGUGAAAUAGAUAGUAUUGCAAAAUUCGCCAGUAGUAUCUAAUCUAUUUAAGGUAUAAUCUACCAGGUGGUCUCUUUCGUAUAUUUGAUAUUACGCAUUUGAUUGCAAGUUGUUUGUUUGCUAAUGAGUUGUGUUUUUCACAUAGUUGCCUUGAAUGAUUUUGUUAAUUUAUGAAGUUUAAAUGAAUAUAUGCUUUUUUAUUGCAAUGAAUAAAAAACCGAAUGUUGUUUAUAAUUAAAAUAUAUAAUUAAGUUUGAAAUAUAUAUAA